rnacentral:rRNA from 1 species
GGACUACAAGGGUAUCUAAUCCUGUUUGAUCCCCUUGCUCUCGCGCCUCAGCGUCAGGUCAUAGCUAGAGAACCGCUUUCGCCACCGGUGUUCUUCCACAUAUCUACGCAUUUCACCGCUACACGUGGAAUUCCGUUCUCUCCGCCAUCCCUCGAGAUCUAUAGUUUCAAAUGCAGUUCCGAAAUUGAGCCCCGGAAUUUCACAUCUGACUUAUACAUCCGCCUACGCGCCCUUUACGCCCAAUAAUUCCGAUUAAUGCUUGCACCCUCCGUAUUACCGCGGCGGCUGGCAC